GAAGUGAAAUACGAGCUGUAGGAGGCGCUACAAGGCCGAGAAGAGAACCUCGUCGGGGACGAAAUCGCCUCCAUCGGUUCUUCUUUUUCCGGCCACUUUUGUAGGUGAUUCUUGAGGGCUUUUGAAGCCCAUAGGACGUUGAUGCUUCUCCCAAUGCUACUUGGGACGAUUUCACUUGUGGAGGACGAAUUGAAGCUUUGAAAUUCUAGGGUUCAUCGAAUUUCAGAUGUUGCGAGGUACUUGACGAAGUAUUCUUGGACGAUUGUUUUGUGGAUUGGCUGCUUUGUUCUAUAUUGAAGACGUAGCACGAGUUUCGAGGUCAGGUUGAUCGUGGCUGAUGCUGAGGUAGCGUGCUUGCAGCUUAACGGUAAGAAGUCAAUUUUGUGACUUUACCGUUAUAAAGACUUCCGCUUGUGGUGAGCUCUGAGGAGCAUUUACGUUUUAUUUUGUUGUUGACAAUUUAAUUCGUAAACUCGUGUGUUAUGUGUCUCUGUGGAGCGAGUCAAUAUUGAAAUUGUGGGUUCAGGGCAUCAAUAUGUACUUGGGUUAAAAGGGAUUAAGUUUCUAAGUAUUUUGUAUUGAUGGCUAAACGUUUCACGCCUAUAUAAUUAUGGGGUUAUAUAUCGAUUUUAUUGUGUAUAAAAUC
rnacentral:lncRNA from 1 species